rnacentral:rRNA from 1 species
GACGAACGCUGGCGGCGUGCUUAACACAUGCAAGUCGAACGGAAAGGCCCUGCUUUUGUGGGGUGCUCGAGUGGCGAACGGGUGAGUAACACGUGAGUAACCUGCCCUUGACUUUGGGAUAACUUCAGGAAACUGGGGCUAAUACCGGAUAGGAGCUCCUGCUGCAUGGUGGGGGUUGGAAAGUUUCGGCGGUUGGGGAUGGACUCGCGGCUUAUCAGCUUGUUGGUGGGGUAGUGGCUUACCAAGGCUUUGACGGGUAGCCGGCCUGAGAGGGUGACCGGCCACAUUGGGACUGAGAUACGGCCCAGACUCCUACGGGAGGCAGCAGUGGGGAAUAUUGCACAAUGGGCGGAAGCCUGAUACGGCAACGCCGGGUGCGGGAUGACGGCCUUCGGGUUGUAAACCGCUUUCGCCUGUGACGAAGCGUGAGUGACGGUAAUGGGUAAAGAAGCACCGGCUAACUACGUG